rnacentral:tRNA from 1 species
UUAUUCUGGGUGUGGUUGCAUGAUAGAUUUUGGUUCUAUAGGAAAAUAGAAUAAU